GGCCCGGGCCGCAUUGUCUCGUCUAGGGCCGGCUGGACGCCCCAGAGGCCGGACCUGGGCAACCCCAGCCUGGAGGUGCCGGGGCCGGAGCUCCCAGAGGGCUGGGUGCGAGGCCUAGGCGGGGUCAGGUUCGGGUUCCUAGGCCAUAGCGGAGCUGCAGCCCAGGCGGCCGGAGCGGAACCCAGCCCCGCUCCGAGUGCCACGUCUCCAGGAACCCCCUCCUUACUCUUGGACAACACUCCGCCCCCGCCCGGGCCUCCGUCCCCCAAACCGCCCUCAUUUGUGCAGCGCCAGAUCCUUCGGACACAUCCCUAGGUGUCUCCAUCCUCAUUCGGUCCAUCCAACUCCCAGACCUCACGUCAACCGGCUGCACCCCACUUUCCAGCCUGCGCCCCAGAUCUGCAGCCUUCGCCCCUAGAUACACCCGCCUGGUGAUGAGGCGCUCCUCGCGUUCCUUCCGGUAACCGCGUUGCGAAGACCACGCUGCCGGGUUGCAAACUUGGGGGGACUUCCUCCCUCCCCUCCCCCUGGGCGCCGUGCAACUGCCCUGGGACCGGGUUCUGGGAUGAGGGGGGCAGACCGGGCUCCCCAGCGGCCGGCGCAGCACGUAGCGCACGUGUAGGGUCCGCUCCCCACCCCCUCGCCGCCUCUGACAACUUUUCAGGGCUCCAGGUGUCCGUGAGCCUCCCUUCCGCCCUGGCCUCCGGUCUCUGCCUUGCUCGUGCUUCUACCACCACCCUUCCCCUCCCAACCCGGUGGAUCCUCUCGUCUCCCCCAGUCUCCAGUGCACCGGCUUUCCCUCGUCCUCUGCGCAGUCCAUCUCAGCUCAUCUCUCCAAUUCAAUGCCAUCAUCUCUCCUCACCAUCUCUCGGUGCCCUGGAAUGUUUGCUGUCAGAUGUCCCCUGUGAAACCCACAAACGCUUGCGAUUUGGCCUCCUUGUUUUAUUUUGUGUAGUCCUACAACGUCUUGUUACUACCCCCUAUUACAACACUUAUAACUCAG
rnacentral:lncRNA from 10 species